rnacentral:rRNA from 1 species
GCACAAGCAGCGGAGCGUGUGGUUUAAUUCGAUGCUACACGAAGAACCUUACCAGGGUUUGACAUACAAGUAGUAGGGAAAGGAAACUGGACCGACCCUUCGGGGAGCUUGUACAGGUGCUGCAUGGCUGUCGUCAGCUCGUGUCGUGAGAUGUUCGGUUAAGUCCGCUAACGAGCGCAACCCUCGCUGUGUGUUACAAGUGUCACACGGAACUGCCGGUCAUAAACCGGAGGAAGGUGGGAUGACGUCAAGUCAGCAUGGCCUUUAUGUCCAGGGCUACACACGUGUUACAAUGGCCGGCACAGAGGGCAGCUACCUGGUGACGGGAUGCUAAUCUCGAAAACCGGUCUCAGUUCGGAUCGAAGUCUGCAACUCGACUUCGUGAAGCUGGAUUCGCUAGUAAUCGCGCAUCAGCCAUGGCGCGGUGAAUACGUUCCCGGGCCUU